rnacentral:rRNA from 1 species
GACGAACGCUGGCGGCGUGCUUAACACAUGCAAGUCGAGCGGAGCGGCUAACGGGUGAGUAACGCGUGAAUAACUGCCCCCCUCUCUGGGAUAACAGUUCGAAACGGCUGCCAAUACCGGAUAGUGGGGGAUGACUCGGGUCCUAUCGGCUUGUUGGUGGGGUAGUGGCCUACCAAGGCGACGACGGGUCGCCGGCCUGGGAGGGCGACCGGCCACAUUGGGCUGAGAGACGGCCCGAGGUCCAACGGGGGGCAGCAGGGGGAAAUAUUGCGAAAUGGGGGAAACCCUGAUGCAGCGACGCCGGGUGCGGAAUGACGGUCUUUGGGUUGUAAACCGCUUGCAGCCAUGACGCGGUAGUGGCAGAAGAAGCACCGGCUAACUACGUGCCAGCAGCCGCGGUAAUAC